rnacentral:siRNA from 1 species
GUGUUGGUCGAUUAAGACAGC